AGUAAGUUUGUCAGUCGUUUCGUGUAAUGUUAGCAAAGCAGUCUAGUGUGUUCAUAGACCACAGGUAAGAUACACGCUAGAUCAAUGCUGCGCACGAAAUGAUAACGUCCACUGUGAGCUUAGCUUCUAUUUUAUUAUGUAUAAUAGCGGUAUCAAGCUCAUCCCCGACAUCUCACCAUGGGGCAGUACCAUCACACCAGAAAUACUUUGAUAGUCCCAUCAAUAUACAGGUAUGUAUAAAUUAA